UGCGAAGUAAGGGCGGAGAUUGAAUGCAUGAGAUAUGCUGGUGUUGGUUAUGUCAGAUGAAUUUUGAGACUCGACUAAGAAGGUGUUAACGGAGAAUGGGAGAGUCAAAUGAAGUACUCUUAUCUGGGACUUUACUUGAAGUAUGUUUUCGAGGACGAAAACUCUUUUAGUGGGGGAGAGUUGUAACACCCCAUAAUUUCAGUUUAUUAAUUUAAUUUGGAUUUAAAUUAAAUAAUUGGAAUUUUAGUAUUUUUAUUUGGAAUUAUUUGGAAAAUGGUGAAAUAUUGACAUUUGGGCCUAGAGUGGUGAUUAGCAGAAGAGGGGGUGUUGACUAAGCAAGCCCAUUAUAAUAUUUAUUUUAUUUUUCAUAAAAUAAGGAAUUUGGGGAAAAGAGGAAGGAGAAGCAGGAACUGAGUCUGAAGAAAGGAGAACACGUGAAAGUGAGAAGAGCCAAAGGGGAAGAGAACCUUCGAAGUUCGACUCUGAGAUUAAGGAUGUAGCGGCGUCUUGAUUGGGUGAAGAUAGCUUAUAGGCUAGCCCUUAGUCCGUGUCGAGUCAUGCUCUGAAUGUAACACUGGGGAACGCUAGUUUAGAGACGAGUUAUUAUGUCGGUCUUUGUUGUUUAUAAUUGUAUUAGAGAACUUGCAUGAAUGAUGAUGAUUAUGCAAUGUUAUGAAUUAUAAUCCGCUGUGUUGAACAUGAAUUGUAUUUAUGUUAAAUGGUUCCUCGUGUGGCAUGACAAAUGACUAUAGUAUUUUAUGUUAAAGAAGUUGUGA